rnacentral:rRNA from 1 species
UGCCACAGCAAUAUUACUCUGCAGCCCAAGACCGGUUACUCACUGAUGAUAAGCAGAGCUGAGCCUGGUCAAUACCUGAAUGGGAGACCACAUGAUAAAAACCAGGUUAAUUUUGGAAG